rnacentral:lncRNA from 1 species
UGUGAUUGGUUAGUUAUCUUGCCAUACAUCAGUAUAGCAUGUCAGAUUUGGUAUCCUUGUGAUUUGGUAUCUUUGUUGAAUACUAAAUUUGUUGUUCUUUUAUUUCAGUGGGAUAAGGCAUGUGGAUUAACGUACACACAAGAUCAAAUUGACGAACUAUGGGAUGAGUGGGCAACGUACGUGAGCAGCUAUAUGUAGAGCCUCGAGUUAACGGUGAAUAUGUUAGAUGAAUGUACGUAUUUUGGGAGAACUAGGCUUUUUUGCACAUGCUUACGUAGUAGCUUAAUUUUAUGGAUAGUUUGGUUUAUUUUGUGGAUUCAUGUAAUCAAAUUCACAAUUCAAUAUAGUAGUAAUUUAUAUUGAAAAGUGAAUUUGAGAUGCAUAUAUGGAUACAUUUUGGUAUAUAUUUUGUGGAUGUAGUAAUUUGAAACUGUAAACGAAUGGUAUUAUUGGGAUGUAUUUUGAAUGGUUGAUACAUUUUGGCUAUAUAUCAUGGCAUUAGCA